rnacentral:rRNA from 1 species
UACGUAGGGGGCAAGCGUUGUCCGGAUUUAUUGGGCGUAAAGAGCGUGUAGGCGGUUUGGUAGGUCCGCUGUGAAAACUCGAGGCUCAACCUCGAGACGCCGGUGGAAACCAUCAGGCUAGAGUCCGGAAGAGGAGAGUGGAAUUCCUGGUGUGGCGGUGAAAUGCGCAGAUAUCAGGAAGAACACCCGUGGCUAAGGCGGCUCUCUAGUACGGUACUGACGCUGAGACGCGAAAGCGUGGGGAGCGAACAGG